rnacentral:rRNA from 1 species
AAUCAACGCUGGCGGCGUGCCUAACACAUGCAAGUCGAGCGGGAAAAGGGGCUUCGGUCCCUGAGUAUAGCGGCGGACGGGUGAGUAACACGUGGGUAAUUUGCCCUUGGGUGUGGAAUAACUCAGGGAAACUUGAGCUAAUACCGCAUGACAUCCUCGUCGCACACGAGUCGAGGAUCAAAGCCGGGGACCCUUCGGGGCCUGGCGCCUGAGGAGAAGCCCGCGCCCGAUUAGCUAGUUGGUGAGGUAAUGGCUCACCAAGGCUUCGAUCGGUAGCCGGCCUGAGAGGGCGGACGGCCACACUGGGACUGAGACAC